GACGAACGCUGGCGGCGUGCCUAAUACAUGCAAGUAGAACGCACAGUUUAUACCGUAGCUUGCUACACCAUAGACUGUGAGUUGCGAACGGGUGAGUAACGCGUAGGUAACCUGCCUGGUAGCGGGGGAUAACUAUUGGAAACGAUAGCUAAUACCGCAUAAUAUUAAUUAUUGCAUGAUAAUUGAUUGAAAGAUGCAACUGCAUCACUACCAGAUGGACCUGCGUUGUAUUAGCUAGUAGGUGAGGUAACGGCUCACCUAGGCGACGAUACAUAGCCGACCUGAGAGGGUGAUCGGCCACACUGGGACUGAGACACGGCACAGACUCCUACGGGAGGCAGCAGUAGGGAAUCGUCGGAAAUGGACGAAAGUCUGACCGAGCAACGCCGCGUGAGUGAAGAAGGUUUUCGGAGCGUAAAGCUCUGUUGUAAGAGAAGAACGGGUGUGAGAGUGGAAAGUUCACACUGUGACGGUAUCUUACCAGAAAGGGACGGCUAACUACGUG
rnacentral:rRNA from 1 species